GACGUAGGGCGCGAGCGUUGUCCGGAUUUAUUGGGCGUAAAGAGCUCGUAGGCGGCUUGUCGCGUCGACCGUGAAAACUUGGGGCUCAACCCCAAGCCUGCGGUCGAUACGGGCAGGCUAGAGUUCGGUAGGGGGAGACUGGAAUUCCUGGUGUAGCGGUGAAAUGCGCAGAUAUCAGGAGGAACACCGAUGGCGAAGGCAGGUCUCUGGGCAUUAACUGACGCUGAGGAGCGAAAGCAUGGGGGAGCGAACAGG
rnacentral:rRNA from 1 species